GCGGCAGUAGUGUAGUCUGGCCAAUCAUCUCGGCCUUUCGAGCCGAAGACCCGGGUUCAAAUCCCGGCCGCCGCA
rfam:Nanohaloarchaea archaeon SG9, complete genome.